UGUGUCUUGGCUAAGGUGUCUUGGCUAAUGUGUCUUGGCUAAUGUGUCUUGGCUAAUGUGUCUCGACUAAUGUGUCUUGGCUAAUGUGUCUUGGCUAAGGUGUCUUGGCUAAUGUGUCUUGGCUAAUGUGUCUUGGCUAAUGUGUCUUGGCUAAGGUGUCUUGGCUAAGGUGUCUUGGCUAAGGUGUCUUGGCUAAUGUGUCUUGGCUAAUGUGUCUUGGCUAAUGUGUCUUGGCUAAGGUGUCUUGGCUAAGGUGUCUUGGCUAAGGUGUCUCGGCUAAUGUGUCUUGGCUAAUGUGUCUUGGCUAAGGUGUCUUGGCUAAGGUGGCUUGGCUAAUGUGUCUUGGCUAAGGUGUCUUGGCUAAGGUGUCUUGGCUAAUGUGUCUUGGCUAAGGUGUCUUGGCUAAGGUGUCUUGGCUAAGGUGUCUCGGCUAAUGUGUCUUGGCUAAUGUGUCUUGGCUAAGGUGUCUUGGCUAAGGUGUCUUGGCUAAGGUGUCUUGGCUAAUGUGUCUUGGCUAAUGUGUCUUGGCUAAUGCGUCUUGGCUAAGGUGUCUUGGCUAAUGUGUCUUGGCUAAGGUGUCUUGGCUAAGGUGUCUUGGCUAAUGUGUCUUGGCUAAGGUGUCUUUUCUAAGGUGUCUUGGCUAAGGUGUCUCGGCUAAUGUGUCUUGGCUAAUGUGUCUUGGCUAAUGUGUCUUGGCUAAUGUGUCUUGGCUAAUGUGUCUUGGCUAAUGUGUCUUGGCUAAUGUGUCUUGGCUAAGGUGUCUUGGCUAAUGUGUCUUGGCUAAUGUGUCUUGGCUAAUGUGUCUUGGCUAAUGUGUCUUGGCUAAUGUGUCUUGGCUAAGGUGUCUUGGCUAAUGUGUCUUGGCUAAUGUGUUUUGGCUAAGGUGUCUUGGCUAAUUUGUCUUGGCUAAUGUGUCUUGGCUAAUGUGUCUUGGCUAAUGUGUCUUGGCUAAGGUGUCUUGGCUAAGGUGUCUUGGCUAAUGUGUCUUGGCUAAGGUGUCUCGGCUAAUGUGUCUUGGCUAAUGUGUCUUGGCUAAUGUGUCUUGGCUAAUGUGUCUUGGCUAAGGUGUCUUGGCUAAUGUGUCUUGGCUAAUGUGUCUUGGCUAAUGUGUUUUGGCUAAGGUGUCUUGGCUAAUGUGUCUUGGCUAAUGUGUCUUGGCUAAUGUGUCUUGGCUAAUGUGUCUUGGCUAAUGUGUCUUGGCUAAUGUGUCUUGGCUAAGGUGUCUUGGCUAAGGUGUCUUGGCUAAGGUGUCUUGGCUAAGGUGUCAUGGCUAAUGUGUCUUGGCUAAUGUGUCUUGGCUAAUGUGUCUUGGCUAAUGUGUCUUGGCUAAUGUGUCUUGGCUCAGGUGUCUUGGCUAAGGUGUCUUGGCUAAUGUGUCUUGGCUAAUGUGUCUUGGCUAAGGUGUUUUGGCUAAUGUGUCUUGGCUAAUGUGUCUUGGCUAAUGUGUCUUGGCUAAGGUGUCUUCGCUAAGGUGUCUUG